rnacentral:rRNA from 1 species
AGCCAUGCAUGGUCUAAGUAUAAGCAAUUAUACAGCGAAACUGCGAAUGGCUCAUUAUAUAAGUUAUCGUUUAUUUGAUAGUACCUUACUACUUGGAUAACCGUGGUAAUUCUAGAGCUAAUACAUGCUAAAAAUCCCGACUUCGGAAGGGAUGUAUUUAUUAGAUUAAAAACCAAUGCCCUCUGGGCUCUCUGGUGAUUCAUGAUAACUUCUCGAAUCGCAUGGCCUUGCGCCGGCGAUGGUUCAUUCAAAUUUCUUCCCUAUCAACUUUCGAUGUUUGGGUAUUGGCCAAACAUGGUUGCAACGGGUAACGGAGGGUUAGGGCUCGACCCCGGAGAAGGAGCCUGAGAAACGGCUACUACAUCCAAGGAAGGCAGCAGGCGCGCAAAUUACCCAAUUCCGACACGGAGAGGUAGUGACAAUAAAUACUGAUACAGGGCUCUUUUGGGUCUUGUAAUCGGAAUGAGUACAAUUUAAAUCCCUUAACGAGGAACAAUUGGAGGGCAAGUUUGGUGCCAGCAGCCGCGGUAAUUCCAGCUCCAAUAGCGUAUAUUAAAGUUGUUGUGGUUAAAAAGCUCGUAGUUGAACCUUGGGCCUGGCUGGCCGGUCCGCCUCACCGCGUGUACUGGUCCGGCCGGGCCUUUCCCUCUGUGGAACCUCAUGCCCUUCACUGGGUGUGGCGGGGAAACAGGACUUUUACUUUGAAAAAAUUAGAGUGCUCUAGGCAGGCCUAUGCUCGAAUACAUUAGCAUGGAAUAAUAGAAUAGGACGUGCGGUUCUAUUUUGUUGGUUUCUAGGACCGCCGUAAUGAUUAAUAGGGACAGUCGGG